UCCCUCAUAGCUCAGUUGGUAAAGAAUCUGCCUACAAUGCAGGAGACCCCGGUUCAAUUUCUGGGUCAGGAAG
rnacentral:tRNA from 1 species